rnacentral:rRNA from 1 species
AGUAACGCGUAGGUAACCUGCCUUGUAGCGGGGGAGUAACUAUUGGAAACGAUAGCUAAUACCGCAUAACAAUGGAUGACCCAUGUCAUUUAUUUUGAAAGGGGCAAAUGCUCCACUACAAGAUGGACCUGCGUUGUAUUAGCUAGUAGGUGAGGUAACGGCUCACCUAGGCGACGAUACAUAGCCGACCUGAGAGGGUGAUCGGCCACACUGGGACUGAGACACGGCCCAGACUCCUACGGGAGGCAGCAUG